rnacentral:rRNA from 1 species
AUUGAACGCUGGCGGCAGGCCUAACACAUGCAAGUCGAGCGGAUGCAGUGUGCUUGCUCCCGGUUUCAGCGGCCAACUGGCGAGCAAUUCCUAGGUACCUGCCUGUUUGUUGUGGCUAACGUCCGGAAACGGGCGCUAAUACCCCAUAAGUCCUUACGACGUACGGGGGGGAUCUUCGGACCUUACGCUCUCACAUGAUCCUAUGUCGGAUUAGCUAGUUGGAGGGGUAAAGGCCUACCAAGGCGCCGAUCCGUAACUGGUCUGAGAGGAUGAUCAGGCACACUGGAACUGAGACACGGUCCAGACUCCUACGGGAGGCAGCAGUGGGGAAUAUUAGACAAUGGGCGAAAGCCUGAUCCAGCCAUGCCGCGUGUGUGAAGAAGGUCUUCGGAUUGUAAAGCACUUUAGGUUGGAAGGAAGGGCAGUAAGUUAAUACCCUGCUGUUAUGACGGUACCAAAAGAAUAAGCACCGGCUAACUUCGUG